rnacentral:lncRNA from 1 species
GGAAGUACUACAGCUUAUAUGGCUAAAAUGUGUGCAAAUCGCGCCGCCAAGGCGCGUGAAUAGUAUUAUUUUUACUAAAAAAUUAGAAUUAUAAUAAAAUAUAAAAAAAAUAAAAAUAAAAAAGACUUCUCUCUUCCAUUCUCUCUCCUCCCCUCCAAUCCUUUCGGUCUCCCCAGCAAAAUUCCUACUCCUUUCGUCUUCCCAGCAAAAUUCAUAUUCUUAAUGUACUCUUUACACACCUCUUUACCUUUACAAACAGGGUGGGUUCCUCAGGUUCUUUGUCGCUGCAAAUGACGGCUGAUUCUCCGAUCUUCUCAUUGGGGUUAUUUGUGGUGACUAUGAUUUUUCCUUCAUUAGUAGUAGCCUCCUUCAUAUCGGGUUUCUCCUUUUUACUGCUGCCCGGUUUAUCAUCUGAUUGUUGACUCACGCUAGGUAGCUGCAAAAUUCUAGUGUGUUUGUAAAAUUUGAGGAUGAAAGCCUAGUUGCAGCUCUCAUAAAGCCUCUCGCCCAAAGUGUCGAUGAUAUAGUAUGCAUCUUGUUCAACCUUGAGGAUGAAGAAGUGGUCAUUUCAACUCACAAUGUAAAUGAAGGACUCGCCAUACUAGCAUUGUCUUGAACGGAUUUAGAAAUCUCAUCCCAGAUGUUGUCAAAUGACAUGGCAUCUUUGAGAAAAUCGAAUCCCUCAUCUUCAAUUCCUUUCGGAUGAAAGAAACCGAUGAAUGACUGUCAAGUUGGGACUUAAUCGGCAUUUCUUCAAUGUCUUAUAAAACUUAGCAUCUUUAGACAUCUCAGAAAUUAUGAAGAAAAAGAGAAUGAAGAAAAAGAGAAAGGAGAAGAAAGAAGAGUAAAGAAAGGGAGGAAGGAGGGUGAACGAAGGAGAAGGGUGUGGUUGGGUACAAUGUAUGUUUUAGGCAUUUUUUCUUUC